rnacentral:rRNA from 1 species
GGCCAUUCGGCAGCUUACCAUGCAGUCGAGGGGUAUAGGUUUUCGUGACCUAGAGACCGGCGCACGGGUGCGUAACGCGUAUGCAAUCUACCUUUCACAGAGGGAUAGCCCAGAGAAAUUUGGAUUAAUACCUCAUAGUAUAGCGGUUUCGCAUGAAACCACUAUUAAAGUUCCAACGGUGAAAGAUGAGCAUGCGUCCCAUUAGCUAGAUGGUAAGGUAACGGCUUACCAUGGCUACGAUGGGUAGGGGUCCUGAGAGGGAGAUCCCCCACACUGGUACUGAGACACGGACCAGACUCCUACGGGAGGCAGCAGUGAGGAAUAUUGGUCAAUGGACGCAAGUCUGAACCAGCCAUGCCGCGUGCAGGAUGACGGUCCUAUGGAUUGUAAACUGCUUUUGUACGAGAAGAAACAUUCCGACGUGUCGGAACUUGACGGUAUCGUAAGAAUAAGGAUCGGCUAACUCCGUGCCAGCAGCCGCGGUAAUACGGAGGAUCCAAGCGUUAUCCGGAAUCAUUGGGUUUAAAGGGUCCGUAGGCGGUUUAGUAAGUCAGUGGUGAAAGCCCAUCGCUCAACGGUGGAACGGCCAUUGAUACUGCUAGACUUGAAUUAUUAGGAAGUAACUAGAAUAUGUAGUGUAGCGGUGAAAUGCUUAGAGAUUACAUGGAAUACCAAUUGCGAAGGCAGGUUACUACUAAUUGAUUGACGCUGAUGGACGAAAGCGUGGGGGAGCGAACAGGAUUAGAUACCCUGGUAGUCCACGCCGUAAACGAUGGAUACUAGCUGUUGGGGGCAACUUCAGUGGCUAAGCGAAAGUGAUAAGUAUCCCACCUGGGGAGUACGGGCGCAAGCCUGAAACUCAAAGGAAUUGACGGGGGCCCGCACAAGCGGUGGAGCAUGUGGUUUAAUUCGAUGAUACGCGAGGAACCUUACCAAGGCUUAAAUGUAGAUUGACCGUUUUGGAAACAGAACUUUCGCAAGACAAUUUACAAGGUGCUGCAUGGUUGUCGUCAGCUCGUGCCGUGAGGUGUCAGGUUAAGUCCUAU